UCACGUCAAAAUCUGCUAUUUGUUUUCAUGGUGAUUUGCUUGUGAAACGUAAGUAAAGAAAUUCAAGCUUCGCUUUUAAAUUGCUUAGUACUUCCGAUUAAUUUAUUAAAUUGUGGGCCUGGGCAAAUUGCUUUGAAGAUGCCACAAUGCGGUGAUGAAUAUGUAGCGCCGGCUAGGAGAAUUCGAUACAAUUACAAUGGGCGUUAGAAACGCUCGCCACAACUAAGCAACGAUUGUUUUCUAUACUUAUAGCGAUUAGCAGAGAAAAAAGUUUUAGCGAAUUUACUGCCUGAAGAAAAUUUAGCUGAAAAACUACGCUAGAAAUAGUCACAAAAUAAAAAGUCGCCACAUUUCCCACAGUUUAUUGAAGAUUUAGUAUGUAGCUUAUUUGUGAAUUGUAAAGUCCUAUAGAUAUGAAGAACAACAUCUACGUUUGUGGUAUUUUAAUUUUUAAUAUCAUACAUAUUGCAGAAUCUGCCACGGGCAUUCAAAUGGUGAAAAUGAAUGUAGAGAAUGAAGUUUAGACACGAAAAAGUUCAAAAUAGAGAAACACAACGCAAAAAACCUUCGAAACAAGGGCAAAAUUAAAGUCUCACGGUGUACAGAAAGAUAUUGAUGGUAAUCAGAAAUCCACCUUGGCUACUAAUGACUAUGAUUUCAUGUAAGUACUGUUAAGAUGCGCAUACCAUAUUUCAUAAAAAAUGUUUGCUUCAUGUUUUUUGUGGAAAAUCGAUGGCUAUGAUUUACAUCUAAAACUGUACACUUAAAAAUUAUGAAUUACAAAUUUCUAACAUG